AGGACAUCCAGUCAUCAACUCAAAAAGUACCACACCGAAGCUAUACACGUCACUUUUCUUGGUGACCAAGUUCGUACUGUAGUAUCUGCAAUCACAAGAGACAGAAGCAAAAUUAUUACUCAAAAUUCUGGAGAAAUGGACAAUACGAGCAAAAGCCUAUGACGUGAGUAACUUCCAGGCACAACUAAGGCCUGCUGUGCUAGUCCUGUUGGACCUGACCAUUCUCCUAGAUGGGAUUAUGAUAUGGCACCUUUAAUUUGUUUACCCACCUUUCUCGUUUCCUAUCUGACAAGGCUAAUGGAAGCAGGAAAAAUUUGUCACUUAA